AACUAGCUGAAAAGAGCCACAUACGAUUCCCCACAAGGCAGCUUGUCAUUGUUGCUAGCUAUCUGGCCAUCCAGAAUCACAACACACGGCUUUCUGCCAGUGGUAAACUAACCCAUCGAUUGUUAUUCUUCAUUAUUACAAAAGUGCCAUCUAGCGGCAUGAGGAUGCACAGUCAAAAAUAACGUAGGCGCCAGAAUGUGCAGGAAUCUCAAUCCACAAUAUUCUGAAGUUUCCCGUUUGAAGUAGACUUCUUAUUGCAGAUGUUUUCUCCCGGAGUUAGCUAGCUAACUUAAUCGCUAGUUGAAUAGUACAUUUUUACCUUCGUUGUUAACGUUGUUUUUUUGUUUGGUUCAAGCUAAUACACCAUUAAAAAGGUCAGAAUGCACGCGUCCACCAUGGUACACAUUCCAUCGUCUACCAACUGCAGAAGAAGACUAAGCGAUUGUGGUUGCGAAAUCUCCAAUGAAAGAAACCACCGAAGACAUUGUGUGUGCUCGUUCCACUUUGUUGACCAAGUCGAGAACCCUUACCCAACCCUAUGACUAGGCUGCGAUAGAGCUCCAGAGAAGAAACGCCAACGACAGUUGCAAAGAGUCACUGACAACAUUAUGACAGCAGGUGACUGUCAAGCAUGGGCGAGUUAGUCACCUCCUGCACCCCAGGGCUUCUCUGAUGCUCAGUCACAAUGGAUGGAUCCCAUUCUGGAGGGCCACAACUAUUGCAGUCUAACUAUACAGAUCAGCAGUGCCAUGGAGAUGACCCAGGUAUCCAAUGAGGGAUCGAGAACUUUUGCCGACAGUCUGGUUGCCAAACCUGCAGAUACUAUACAGUAUAUCACAAAAAUGGACACUUCAUCACCAUCCUCGACCUUUGUUAUUCCAGAGGGGAAGAUCCACACGAUGUGGAGUACAUCUGGAGAGCUAUUCCAGACCUGGUGAAGGUCAUGGAAUACAACAGCAGUCUCAAUAGAUUGACUGGUUACACACCCAUUGGGACACAUAAUGCUGAGCAAUUAAACACCGAUCCCGUGGUCCUGGCAUC